AAAAGAAGUAGUAUAGCCUAACGUUGAAUGGAGGAGGUAAAGGAGGCUGCACGUGCACCAAAGCUCAUAAAGUUUCUGUAGACUUUCCGACUUUCCACGGGACCAUCGGAGGAUUUAACGUUAUAACAUACGUUGACAGCUCCAGUCAUGUCUGGUGAGAGGAGGUGCACGUUUUGUGCCCGAGACUGUCAGAAAGGAGGGAAAGUGUGUGAGUUCUGCAGCAAGGCCUCCUUCCGAUUCAGAAGGCUCCCAGGAGAGCUAAACGACCAUGGCACAACCACCACCUACAUGGUUAAAGACUGGACACGGGACCAGCAGCUGCUUACAGGGCUGAACCAACUGCGGGAAGCAGCUGAAUUUACCGACAUCACUCUCAUCUGUGCAGAGGGAAAGACAUUAGUUUGCCAUAAAGUCGUGCUGGCCACCAACCCUUAUUUCCAAACUAUGUUCUCCACUGAUAUGAGAGAAAGCAAAGAGAAUAAAGUCACAUUUGAAAAUAUCGAGGUGGACGUCAUGGCAGAGCUCGUGUCAUUCCUGUACACAGGAGAGAUGACCUUAACCUUGCAGAAUGCCAGCAGUCUGCUGGAGGCUGCCUGCAUGCUGCAGUUUGAGCGUGUGCAGGAGAUCUGCUGUGAAUAUCUCGGCCACCACAUCUGUGUCACCAACUGUCUGGAGAUCUGGGGUGUAGCGGACAUGCUGGGGUGUGGGGAGCUAGCGAGGAAGGCAGAAGCUGUGGCAGUCCGCAGCUUUAGGGAGCUGUCCGCAGGAAACGCUCUCCUGUCCCUUAGUGAUGUGCACAUGGGUCGGUACAUGUCGUCCAGUCUUCUCCAUGCCACCCCUGUGGAAGUGCUGAACAUGGUGGUGAGAUGGUACACGCAUGACAGAGACAGGGGGAGACAUGUGCUGCCUGACUUGCUCUCACAACUGGAUCUCACCACACCUGAGACACUUCAGCCUCAUGAUCUGGGACAGCAGCAGGACUGGCAAGAAAACAUUGACAAACACAUGGAACAGUUGGUGACCUUACAUGGCCUUUCUGAGGCGGAGGCGUCAGUUGUCAAGGAAGUCUGUCCAGACCAAGUUCCCACCCUACAACUGAACCAUCCCCAUGUAAGACCAAUGAGUUUGAACCAGCUCCUUGUACCACAGAGGAGAAUGACCCAUGGACAUUGUUAUUUGGUAUGUCCUUGUAUGAUUCCUCUUCAUGUAGUGCAGAGGAAAAUAAAGCAUCCCCAUGUAUGGCAGAGGAGUGUGCAGUUCUUGUAGCAGGAGAGAAACAGAUGAAUCCCAACAGUCGCUGGGCCACAGAGUUCGGGAGUGAUAGAAGAAACUUUGUAACUGACAUUGGUUUAUUCUGCCCCAAGUUGGGUGUUGACUUUCUGGGCUCCCCUGCAGUUGAUCUGCCUGAUACAGGCCUAAGUGGUUGCAGCGUUGCUGUAUGGGAAGACAAGUUGUUCGUGACUGGCGGUGUGGGAGACAUGGGUGUUCGUGGCAUCCUCUGGUGUUUUAACCUGACCUCACAGACAUGGGAGUUCCAGGACACGAUGUGUGAACAGCGCUCCUACCACGGCUCAGCGGUCAUCAGCAACAUCCUGUACUUAUUUGGUGGGCGCUCCUUCUCGUCUGGCACGACCACGGACGGAAUGGAGGCCUGGGACCUGGUGACCAUGGAGCCCCUGAGUACACCACGAGCCCUGGAGAGCUUCUGCCUGGCAGCCUCGUGUGUGUGUCAGGGUAAGAUUUAUGUGUUUGGAGGGGAGGAAUAUUGGAGAGAGGAGCCCCUGCCGUGGAUCCAGUGUUACGACCCACAGAGCAACACAUGGACUAAGACGGAGUCUCUCAUGGUGGCCAAUAAGGGAUCGGCUGCUGCCGCUCUGGGAGACAGGAUAUUAGUGGUGGGCGGUGAGCUGUGGUCUGGUGUGUUGGAAUAUUCACCACACAGCGGGCAGAUCAGCACACUGCCAGGACUGCGCUAUCCCCGGGCCUUCCACGGUGUGGCAGUGCUGAGCGGCAGGGUGUAUGUAUUUGGUGGGAAGGACGUCGCUAACAAUGACGAGACCAAACUGUAUGAACUGCCAUCGGAGUGGUAUGAUACUGAGUCAGAGACGUGGGUCUGGUUGGAUAGUUUACAUGACGAUAAUCUGAUUCAGAAGUGCUACUGGGAGAAAGUGUUUGGCUUUGGCUGUGCAGUCUUUCCAGCUAUACAAUAUUCUUUUGAUUGAGGAUUACAAAAAGGCUUUCCUGGAAGUUAGCCUCUAUUUUGAGACAGUAAACUCUUGUAAUAUUUCUUUAGUUGUGUAAUACUUGUUAGUUGCUGCCCCUUCUGGUAGUUGAUGGUAACUGGUAACUAUGAAAAUGGCAAGAGGAAAAACAAAUGUAUGCAUAAUGGAUGUCCUUUCUUACGUGUAUGUAUAGACCUUGCACAUUGUAUAUUCGAUCUAAUUUGACUUAACGUUAGGUAUAGUUGGUAGGAAAAUACAGUGACACUGGAAACCAAAUUUAUGCUUGAUCUUAGCUUUUAUUUACUUGCAAUAAAGACUUGAUGGUGGAAAAAGUUUUCAGUGUUAUUCUUGUACUCCAGGAAGACUACUGCUAGUAACUGCCUUGAUGUUCUACAUUGACAUCUGGCAAUAGUGAUGAUGAUAGUAACCAAUAAAGUAACUGAUAUUCAAUGAUUUCUUUUUUGUUGGCAACUUUACUAAUUUGAAUGGACAUAAAACAGAAAAUGAAUACAUGAAAAGAUGACUUUACAAGCUUGCUUUUCUAUAGUGGAAACCUAUAGUGAACACUUUUUUUCAAAGCAGCAAUGAGUGUUUCCAAAAAUACUUUGAGCAGCUACAUAAUAGCCAAUAAACUAUGUCUACUCAAAAUAACAAAUAUAAGUUACUCUGCAUUGCCUUUUGAUAUUGACAAUUUCCCAACAACUCAAAAAAUACGGUGUUCGGUUAACAAAUCCCAAAUAAACCACGUUUAGUUGAUACAAAAAAGAAAAAGGAUGUUUUGUCUUCCAUCGUAAUCCAUGGUGACAAAUGGAGCUCCUGUAUGCUACAGUUGUAUAUCCCAGUGGAGCCCACCCUAAGAAACGUG